GACGAACGCUGGCGGCGUGCCUAAUACAUGCAAGUAGAACGCACAGUUUAUACCGUAGCUUGCUACACCAUAAACUGUGAGUUGCGAACGGGUGAGUAACGCGUAGGUAACCUGCCUGGUAGCGGGGGAUAACUAUUGGAAACGAUAGCUAAUACCGCAUAAUAUUAAUUAUUGCAUGAUAAUUGAUUGAAAGAUGCAAUUGCAUCACUACCAGAUGGACCUGCGUUGUAUUAGCUAGUAGGUGAGGUAACGGCUCACCUAGGCGACGAUACAUAGCCGACCUGGGAGGGUGAUCGGCCACACUGGGACUGAGACACGGCCCAGACUCCUACGGGAGGCAGCAGUAGGGAAUCUUCGGCAAUAGACGAAAGUCUGACCGAGCAACGCCGCGUGAGUGAAGAAGGUUUUCGGAUCGUAAAGCUCUGUUGUAAGAGAAGAACGGGUGUGAGAGUGGAAAGUUCACACUGUGACGGUAUCUUACCAGAAAGGGACGGCUAACUACGUG
rnacentral:rRNA from 1 species